CGCGGCGCGCCAGGUCCUCUUCCCCGCGCCCCGCGUUCGAAACUUUCUCCGAGCACCAUCCGACUGCGCCGCGGCCUCCAGCUCCCCCGCAGCCGCGUCCGGUACUGGGCGGGUCCGUGGCCGCCGCCGGCCGCCGGCCUGCCUGCUGCGCCGCCUCGGGCCGAAGCCCCCUCCUGCGCCGCCCAGCUGUGCCGAAGUUGGCCGGCCCUAUUCCUCCCUCCCUCCCUCCGCUUUCUCCCUCAGCCAGGAAACCUAGGUCGUCUCCUCCACCUCCGUUUUGGGAGUCCGGAGGCUACUGGGUCCGGAUCCGCCCUCUCCCUCGCCGGAUCUACGCCUCCCUUAGCCAGAUCUACGUUCCUUCGCCUGGGCGACAUGGAGCCGCCCUCCUCUUUCCGGCGGCGCUGGCGCAGCCUCCUCUACCGGGACUCGCGCGCGUGGAGGCGCUGGCCGGGCACGCCGUAGGCCGCCGUUGCCUCUGUGCCGCGCUCGUGGACGCGCUGGCCGGGGACGCGGCAGGCCAGUGUUGCUUCUGUGCCGCGCGGAGGUGCUGGCCGACCGGCCGUGGCUGUGGCCGCGGUGGCCGGUGCUCCAGCUUGCUUCUCUCACUUCCCGCUUCUUUUUUCUCCAUUCUAUUUCAGAUCCGGUAGUGUGGAACUAUAAACGGCACAGAGGGACGAGCUUUGUGGCGGCGGUUGCUCUGGUGAGGGAGCUCUGCGGCAAGCCACGCGGAGUGGCGGCCACGGCAUGCUCACCCACGUCGAGGUUUCUCAUGCUGAUUUUGCAUAAUUUCUUACCAUCUAGGAGCAAGAUUGCUUCUGCAACAUUAGCUAUGAAGUUAAUGUUUUGGCAAGAGGAUCAACAGAAGGAUGCGGUAAGCUUUCUAUUUCUAUGGAAUAAUGUCGUGUGGUGUGUUGCUUUUUUUAACAUUAGCUUUUUUUAAUCAUGUGGUGUGUUGCUUUGGGUUCCUACCUGCUGCUUGUUUGAUGAAAAGUCUAGGCAAACAAUGUUACACCGAAAUAGAAGUUGCUAUUGCUUUUACUUGAUGGACUUUGAUUAUUCUUGUUCCACUGUUAGAGUUUUGCCGAGGAUGCAAAAAUUAUGCCAAUUGGUUUUAGUUCUUAUGAACAAUUAGUUUGUUGUUGUGCAAUACUUUCUUAUUUGUGCUUGCAUUUUCAAGCCUAGAAUAAAACUUGGUGACCUAUUACUACUUACUUUGCUAAUUGUGCUUGCAAUCAUAUUGUUAUUUUCGUAUUGUGUAAAAUUUUGUUUAUUUUGGCACACGCAUUUUGUUGUGUAAACCUUGAGCCUGAUGGUUCCAUGCAGAUCCUUGCCCUACGGUAUGUAGAAGGCAAGAAAGCCAGAGAUAUUCUGGAAGUUUAUUUAAUCGAUGAAAAUAGACAUCAUCUGACAGAGCCAUUUAUGGAUAUGUCUUCCCUAAUUGCCUUGUAUGAGAUCCCUACCCCUAAAGGAUCGAUGCAAAUUUAUGGAUAUCUCUUCCCUAACUUGUGAGCACGCGCACACUACAAAUUUUAAAUUUCUGCAACUCAAACUAGCAUCAGUAAGGUAGAUUCAGCUCAUAAAGCCAGUGUACCAUAUAACUCUGGACAACUUAAUGCUUCAGUUGCUAAAGAUAGCACUUGCACCAAGUUUAAUUUGGAGGAUGCAAAGCAUGCAUUCGGAAAUUGGUUGAUCAGUUAUAUCUUUUAUUUUGGGUUUUUAUUUUUAUCGUUUACACUUAGAUUAGAUCAGAGUAUCAGACAACAUUUUGCUGUUUUGCUGGUCCAAAUAUAGAUUUUCUAUGAGUGAUCAGUUAUAUCUUUUAUUUUGGGAAAAAGUCUACAUGACCCCCUGAACUAUACUGUCAGUACACUUAACACCCCAAACUCAAAAACCGGAUGUUUAACCCCCUAAACUUUGGAAAACCGGACGAAACACCCCCUGAGCGGUUUUGGAUGGUGGUUUUGCCACCGUGGAAGCCAUGUCAGCGCCACCUAGAUGCAAACGUGGCGCGGGGCCCACACGUCAGUGCCCAUAUCUCAUCUGCUGUCUGUCGUCCCUCUCGGUGGCUCUCGUCGCCCUUUCCCGUGCCCCUAGCCGCAGGACGCCGCUCCUCCGACGCCGCUGCUUCCUACGCCGCCACCGCUCCUCGAGCUCCGCCGCGCCCGUUCCUCGAGCGAGCAGAAGCUCACUCCCGCCGCCGCCCACGCCGGCUUGGCCAUAGGCGGGGGAGGGCCUCGCCGCGGCGGGGCGCGAAGCAGGGGCCGCGGCGGGCGUGCUCCACCCCGCGCGCCGGCCUGGCGUGCCUUCUCCACCUCCCCGGCGGCGUCGCCUCGGCGCAGCAGGAGGGGCGCGGGCCUCGCGGGCGGAGGGAGCAGAGGGAGAACGAGGGAGGAGGGGGGCGAGCUCCACUGCCGUCGACCUCAGAAAGAGGGGCGCGGCGCCCCGCGCGGGCGUCCACGGCGAGCUCGGCCGCCGCCCCGCGCGAGCGUCCAUGGCGAGCCGUGCCGAGCUCGGCCGCCGGCCCGCGUCGUGGCCCUGCGCCGGCCGAGCUUGAGCUCCAGGAGGGUCAGCUCCAUGCUUCGCCACCGAGGCCGGCGCGCGCGCGAGCUCCAGCUCCGGCGGCCGGCGUGCGAGGGAGCAGAGGGGCGAGGAGCAGAGGAAGGGCGAUGCGCUCGCGGCGUAGUCGAAGCACGGGAGGGAGGGCCAGGCGGGUGGCGAUGCGGACGAGGGGUUGCGCCGACACGCUGCCUCCCUCCAGCCCAAGCCAGCUCACCGCCUCGCGCCGCCCUCGGCCGGCCCGCCGCCUCACACCGGCGCCAUCGGAGCUGCCCGGCGCACCGCCUCCCUCCAGCCCCGGCCAGCUCACCGCCUCACGCCGCCCCAGCUGGAGCUGCCCAACGCGCCACCUCCCUCCAGCACGGGGCCCCGGCCGGCUCACCGCCUCGCGUCGUUCCCGGCCGGCCCGCUGCCUCGCACCGCCCGAGACCGAGGUUGCGUCGGCGAGCCGCCGCCUCCAUCGAAGGACAAGGCAGGAAGGGGAAAGUAGAGAUGGGCACUGACGUGUGGGCCCCGUGCCACGUUUGCAUCUAGGUGGUGCUGACAUGGCUUCCACGGUGGCAAAACCACCAUCCAAAACCGCUCAGGGGGUGUUUCGUCCGGUUUUCCAAAGUUUAGGGGGUUAAACAUCCGGUUUUUGAGUUCGGGGGGUUAAGUGUACUGACAGUAUAGUUCAGGGGGUCAUGUAGACUUUUUCCUUUAUUUUGGGUUUUUAUCUUUACGGUUUACACUUAGAUCAGAGUAUCAGACAAUAUUUUGCUAUUUUGCUGGUCCAAAUAUAGAUUUUGUAUGAGUCGUAGCUUGUAGGAAAACUAACUGGAGUUCAUAUCACAAUUCAUGUUGUGUCUACUCAGUAGGAAUAUUCAAAGUAACUAUGUUUUUGUCUUAUUGGAUAUCCAUGGAAGCAUCCUACUUUCUAUUAUCAUAAAAUUUGUCUUAAGAGAAGGUCCAGUUCAUAACAGAUAUUAAUAAUUCAUUUAGUUAGUUUGUAAGUAUGUAGCACCCUUACUUAGAGUUGUUGUUCUAACCUGACAGAUGCAUGCUCUGAACUAAUUCUUCUUGCCCCUCUGCUACUCCUAAUAACUAUAUGUUACAUCUUCUUUGUGUGAAACAUUUAUUUCUUAUUUUGGACUAUAGAUCAUGUGUUGUUUUUUGUAUGUCUGAAAUGCAUCCAUAGCGUUAGAUAUGAUCAUUUUAGUAAUUUUCAUUUGCAUGGAUAUGAUCAUUUUAUUCUUAACUAUGGAAACAUAUUAUGUCUUUUGGUUGUUUUGAUGUGCAUGGACAAAGUGUCACCCGGAGCGUUAGCACGGGCAGCCUGUCCAGGAACACAGCCUGGACGGCAGAAAUACCAGAAUAUGCUCAAGAGUUUUAAGUUUUGCCAUGGAUAGAAUGCAUGAUGAACUGCUGAAGCUUAAUGGCAAUGGCUUGCUAUGCACAGUUGUGAUGAUAUUUUUUAUGCCUGAAAACAAGAUAACUUCUUUCUGUUCUUUCUGUAUCUCUCACCCUUUUAUCAUUGCUAAUCCGAGGGAUAUGCUAAUGGAUUUGCCAGACUUUCUUUACAAUGUAAAAUAUUGCAGUGAGAAAAUUUGCUCAUAUGUGCUACAAGAAGAUGCUAUAAGUGAGCAAUUGCUUCAAAGUUCUUUCUAAUUUUAUCUGGAGCACAGAGAUUCCUGGGCAAUAUAAUCUUACUCAAGUGUCAUGCUGAGAAUGAGAUAAUACACACCCUUGCAUUCUUAGCUGGUGCCAUGGUUUGGUCACAGGUACUAAUAACUCACCUCUCUAGACCAUAAUCUAUGUUAAGUCAAUUAUGUUUCCCCCCUAUCUAUAUUGCACUCUGAUUAGCUUUAAUAGUCUUUCGGCACUUAAAAUGGAAUAUGUAUAAAGUGAGAUAUUUGCUUCGUUUCGUUGAACCGGCAGCUAUAUCGUGCCAUGCUGGGUUAUCUAUGGGUAUACAACAACAACAACAACAUAGCCUUUUUUCCCAAGCAAGUUGGGGUAGGCUAGAGAUGAAACCCGAAAGAAAUAAGUUCAAGGUUCAGGCACAUUAAUAGCUAGUCUCCAAGCGCUCCUAUCCAAAGCUAUCUCUUUAGAGAUGUUCCAAUCUUUAAGGUCUCUCUUAACCGACUCAGCCCACGUCAGUUUAGGUCUACCUCUACCCCUCUUUACAUUAUCGACUAGCUCAAGGACCGUUAUCUAUGGGUAUGAUGCUAAUAAUUGUUAUGACUUAGGAGUCAGGACUGGCAUAAUUAUGUGGUCUGCACUUAAAUAUAUUUGUUUUUUUAAUCCGUA